rnacentral:rRNA from 1 species
UACGAAGGGGGCUAGCGUUGCUCGGAAUUACUGGGCGUAAAGGGCGCGUAGGCGGGUCGUUUAGUUAGAGGUGAAAGCCCAGGGCUCAACCCUGGAAUUGCCUUUAAUACUGGCGGCCUUGAGUAUGGCAGAGGUGUGUGGAACUCCGAGUGUAGAGGUGAAAUUCGUAGAUAUCGGGAGGAACACCGGUGGCGAAGGCGGCGACCUGGGUAGAUACUGACGCUGAGGUGCGAAAGCGUGGGGAGCAAACAGG